rnacentral:rRNA from 1 species
UACACUCCUGCGGGAGGCAGCAGUGGGGAAUUUUGGACAAUGGGCGAAAGCCUGAUCCAGCCAUGCCGCGUGCAGGAUGAAGGCCUUCGGGUUGUAAACUGCUUUUGUACGGAACGAAACGGCCUUUUCUAAUAAGAGGGCUAAUGACGGUACCGUAAGAAUAAGCACCGGCUAACUACGUGCCAGCAGCCGCGGUAAUACGUAGGGUGCAAGCGUUAAUCGGAAUUACUGGGCGUAAAGCGUGCGCAGGCGGUUAUGUAAGACAGUUGUGAAAUCCCCGGGCUCAACCUGGGAACUGCAUCUGUGACUGCAUAGCGAGAGUACGGUAGAGGGGGAUGGAAUUCCGCGUGUAGCAGUGAAAUGCGUAGAUAUGCGGAGGAACACCGAUGGCGAAGGCAAUCCCCUGGACCUGUACUGACGCUCAUGCACGAAAGCGUGGGGAGCAAACAGGAUUAGAAACCCCAGUAGUCCCA